rnacentral:lncRNA from 1 species
CUCAAAGGAAAAAAGCCAAAGACAAAAUGAACAGUUACUGCCCUUCUUUAAGUCAGAACGCGGCUCGGGUGCCGACGGAAUCUGCAGCGCGGGACAGACUCCCACCUCGCGCCCGUCUUUCCCCGCGCAGCGCGUUUGUCCGCACGGCAGCGGCGCAGCUCUGACUUUACGCAACAGUGCUGCGGAACCCGCGAGGCCGAACGUCUGCGAGAGCCGCCCCUGCCGCCGCCCGCCGAGCGCCCCGACCACCCGCAGCACUCCGGGCCGAUCCGACCCGGCCGCCGCGGCGCUGCUGGCGGUUCCCUUCGUCCCGUCUCUGUGGCUCCGCGCUGCCGCCGUCCCCACUUGGCCACCGCGCCUGCGUUAACGGCUCGGCCCGAGGCCGUUCUGUCGCUGGCGCCACUCCCGCUGCUCCGCGGCCUUCGCGGUGCGCGCGCGUCAGCACCUGCGGCCGUUAGGCGCGCGCGCGACCGUUGCUCCCUCAGGCGAGGCCGUCCCGCCGCGCGUUCCGCCUGCGCGGCCAGGCGUUCCUCUGCCGAGAGGUGGCCCUCGUGUGCUCAGAGCCGUAAUUGGAGCAGUCUUCCCCGGGACGGGAAAAACAGCUUAGGGAGGAGGAAGAAAAAGCAGGAAGAAAACGCGCAUCCUCCCGGAAACGGAGCGGGAGUGCAGACUUUGCGGUUUCUCGGAGGGACUCUGAAUUGAUACAGUGCUAUGGCAGAAUGGAACAGCGUCCUCGUUCUGCAGAGGAGACUGGAGACUCAUCAUCAGGUACUUUACAGAUAAGCACAGGGGGAAAAAACACCUCAAACCCUCUAGGUGUUAUGUGUUCCUCUAGUUUCUUUCUUUGAUUCUCUUUUAGAAAGUUUUUAGUGGGGAUGCAGAGUGUAUUGCAGGGGAUGGGGAAACAUGAGGGACUUCUCUGCUAUCAAGGAGAAGCCUGACUUAAGAUGGUACAUAUGUUCUAAGAAAUCCAACACCCUUUAGCAACGUUUGUGUAAUACACAAAUCAGCUAAUACGCAGGAGUAGACAGGUGCAUUUGAUGAUAGCCACUUUUAGAGCAUGGUUAACAUGUAGAGCUUUUAUUGAAAACCAGGGUUUAUAGCUUAUGGAAAAGUUCAUUCGGCCUCAUCUCAAGCCUUAUCCACCCUUGUCUUGGUGUUUCCUUCAUAAUGUUAACAUGAACACAGUUGGAGGGUGUAGGGAAAGGCAGAGAACCAGUUCUGAAUCACCCAAAAAAGGCUGCUGGUCACCAUCCAGCUCAAGAAAGAUUUGCUUGCCCCGUUCCAAAGCUUGGGGUUCACCAAAUAUGCCAAAAGGAGGUAUCUCCAAGUAAAGACCUUCCCUGGUGGCAGCCAGCCCUUCAGUUGACAGUAGGGAGGGCUGGAACCAGGUUUUUGGAAUUGCUGCCACCUGUGCUCCCAGGGCUGGCUGUGUCCCUUCCUCAGGUGCUCAGUCAUUGGUUCAGGCUGUGACUUAGCAGUUCCCUUAUGGAGGAGUAUAUGUUUAUUUUGUAGGUCUUAGUAAAAUUAUUAAAACACAGAAUUGCAAGUUGGGACCCAACGAGAGAUUUAUCAGUGAUACACUCUGACUAUAAAUUCUGUAAUGCACAAAUGCAUAGUGAAAAAGUGCUGUGCUGGUUUUCCACUGUUUGUGUUUGAAGUGUGGUAUCUGAAGGUAAGUUUAGAGCACGUAUAGCCUACAGACUUUUAGAAUGGAUUAAGUUCAUAUAGAAAAGGUAUUUUAGGAAAUUUACUAGGCAUACCGUUCAGUUUUAUGGGUACCUAAAUAACAAUUUGGUUUUGUAAUACUUUCCCAAAUUUUGAGGUCAUCAGCAUUGCACAGACUCUAAUGAGGAAAGGGUUGGUGAUCAAGUAUGGAGAUUGCCUCCGUAUGAGAAAGUAUCAUAUUAAAUGCUUAAAUGAAGCAGCUUCAUGACAGAAAGAAUCUUGUGCAUACUGAACAGCUCACAGUUCUUUCUCCUGAAGAAAUGCAUGUAGGUGUUUGCUCCAAAACAAGCUGAGCAGAAUACAAAAUGCGAAUAUGAAUUCCAACAAUCCAGCACAUCUUGAAAACCUCAAAGAACUUAGGAAAAUCAUGAACGAAUAGGAUAGAUUUGUUCUCUGAACUUGCUUGUUUUUUAAUGAACCAGGAGGCAGAUGAGUUUUGGGGUAUGGUGAACCUUAGCAGCUGCACAUAAUGAAAAAAAGAUUACUUUAUAAAGUAAGGUCUGUAGGGUUCAUGAGCUAUAGAAAAGGUAAUUGUUUACAGUUGUUUAUUACACAGAUUAGAACUCUUGCAAUACCUUUGGCUUUUCUUUUCAUGACAGAAGUAUCUUUCUGAAGGUAAAGGAAAAUGCUACAUCAUGCUUUUGUUCUGACCAGUGUCUCUACACAUCAGAGUAUCUAUGUCAGGGUUCUUAGCCUACGUUUUCUUGAAACAAGAGUAAAAGCAAAGGAAUUAAACUAACAAAACCCAAUAGACCUAAACACUGGGAGUUUGAGAGUUCUUCAUUAUUAAAGAUGUUCUCUCUGAUUCUGAAGAAAAACCACAAUUCUUUUGGAGUUUGUCUCUAAGUCCUUGUAUCAUUCUUGUUCCCUUUUGUAGGAAAAGCACUUGCAAAUGUUGCCCAAAUAUUUCUGACUCAUACGAUCCAGAAUUUUAGUUUGUUAUUAAAUGCAUUUUUCAUUUUUAAUAAGCAAAACCAGACAAUGGUUUUCCUUUUUUUUUUAUUUGAGACACUUAGCAAAAAUGCUGAAAUAUCAAACAUUUCCUCAGUAGCUACAAUAUUGCCACUAUGUACAAAAUAUCUGAUAAAUGUACUACACAUAUAAAAAUACAGUAUGCCUUACAUAUAUACAGUACAAUGUGCAAAACAUAUGGCAUUCAAACACAUGGAAUUGAUUUUAGGGGUGCAAACAACAAAUACAAAGGCAUCAUGGUUUCUUAUAGAAAGGCAAAACAUAAACUGACGCCCUGAUUGCCAUAAUUUGCAUUUAGUAAAGUAGUGCUUAAAUGAAGAGGGUCCUAGGAAGAGGUAUCUAUCUUCUUCUUUUCACAAAAUGAGAUGCUAAGACAUAAUUAUGACUAUGAAAAUAAGAAGAGAAACACCUACUAGGGUUAGCGUCAUUUCUACUGCAAGCAGUACUCUGGAAAAAGUUCUAUCUGGAAAAAAGCCUGUGCUAUUACUUAAUACAAAUUUCUCAAACAACAAAAACAAAUCUGUACUCUCAAACAUCAAAAUCUGCUUUGAAAAUAUCUACAUCCUUAAUUUAAAAAAAAGUAUUGGUAAUAUUUGGGGGAUUUACUUUCCUAUGCUUCAAAAUACAAAGUGCCUUCUUUGGCAAUAUAAAUGGCAAUGCUUUGGUUCCUAUUUAAAUUUUUAUAUUACUAUAAUUUAUUUUAGGCUAUUUUUGAAUAUCUGAGCUGUACUUUUUAUAAAAAUAGUGUGAUUGUAUAGUUGUUAACCAUUCCCUGCAUUUCAUUGAGAUUUCAUUCUCGUAGCGUGAAUAGCUUUUUUUUUUUUUUUUUGGCUAGAAUUCGACAUAUGCAUUUAUGUACUUUUAACCUAGAAGUCUAUAUAUUCAGACACUACAGAAUGACAUAGGUGUGUCUUUUGCAUUUUAUUCAUCACAAUAGAAGGAAUACUUGAGAUUAUUUCAGGUUCAGUUUUUAAUGGAUGCUCUUUAUUGGCCACAUAUAUACUAUGUGCAACUCAAUUCCACAUCUCUCUCAAAAGAAAACCUCUAUUAUGGCCUAGAAAUCAUCAGAAAGCAAUUUAAUAGGCCACAAUAGAAAAAGAUUUAACAAAACAUUUAAUAGAUAUAAGUGGAAGAAUAUUUUUUCCAGUUUUAAUAGAAUUUGCUUUAAAUUUAUAAUACGCUGAAGAUGCCAUCAAAAUAACUGUAUACAUCAGUGAGCUUUAUUUUGUUUUCAUUACAUAAUGCCCUUCCAGUUAAUUGUAUUCUUUGACUGCAUUUUCUCUGCUUUGAGAGCAGUUCAGCAGCUUGUGCUUGGUUUCCAACUAUGGUGCCUACACUUUUCAGGCAUCAGAACAUUUGAGAUUAUGUAAUAGAGAAGUUUAAUAUUGAAACCUCUGGUUUGAUCAUUUGCUUCCUUGAAGAUAUUCCUGUUGGUCAAUUUAGAGAUGCCUUGAAAAGAAAUUUCAGUAUUAAACAGUGAUUGCUUCUAACAUGGCCUCAGCUUUUUAAUGGGCUGGCUUUGCAAGGCUCUCAUUACUGGAUUAGAAGCUACAUUUCUGUAAAGAACAAUUGAAUAAACUGAUAUAACUGUUAAGUUUAUGACAACGAUUUGCCAACUGUUUGUAACCUUGCAUAAAAUUUUGCCUGUAAACUUACUUGUCUUAAAUAAUGCUGCAUGGCACUAAAAGUGCAUUAACAAAUAGCAUUUCUGUACUACAUGCAAGAUGUGACUCUUCUUGAUUAAUACCAGUCCUGUAAGACACACCUGAGCUCCUUCCAUGUUUAGAAUUGUAAACACCAACUUUUGAAUUUCACACUGAUAAAAUGGUAUUCUUAAUUGCUUUGUAAGAAUUUAGUAACAGCAGAUUUAAUAGGAUGUGUUCUGUUAGCAUAUUGCAGCCAUAAUAUGGCAAAUUUAGUGCCAGUGCUUUCCUCUGCAACUGUUCUCCUAAUGAGAAAUAUUCAGUUCUGUACAGUCAAACUGCACAGUCAUGAUUAAAUUUCUAAGAUGUGUUGUAUCUGUGUAAGAAAAAUUAUAAUGCAAAACAUGCACACGCACAAAUCUAAGCAAAAUCUAUUUCUGCCAUAACCUGUGUAUAUAACUGUGGCAAAUAUAUCACAUUUCAGAACAAUGGCUGUAGCAAACCAUCAUAUAUAAGGUUUUAAUACAUAUAACCCUCAAAUGUACAAAAGAAGUAAUCACACAUCCCCCACACCAGAAUAUCUGUACUUUGAAAGCUAAAAUGAUCCCUUAACUUUUUUUUUUUUUUUUUUUUUUUUCUCCCCCCAAAUAGACUGUUAGAGCAGAAAGCUAUACUGUACUGCUAACAACACAUCUCAGCUGUUUGGGUUUAUUUCUGCACAUAGAUUCCUAUGGAGUAAUUAACAUUCUACACUGCCAAUGAGGAUAGUUUUGUAGCAAGAUGAUUUUGCCAGUUUUAAGCAUAUAUACAUGCAUAUCAAAAAUGACAGUACAAUCAUUCUAGAUUAAUUUAUUCUCUAACAAUUAAUUUACUUGCCUCUUUAUUUAAUCAGAAGGCAGGGUCAAGAAGGGGUAAUUGUAACCACAUGUAUGUGGUACAAUGUGUGAUGUACCACAUACUAUACUUACGGUACUGUAGGACUACAUAAUUUCCAUUCGAUGUUGUUCCUAUCAGACCAAGAGUCUUUAAUUCUUGUUCCAGUAACAGCUGAGGGCACUUUGUAUCUCAGAGUAUCAGCUCCCAAGAUAAUAUGAUUGAAAGGAAUGCAAAAACUGAAUGUACUCAAUGUUAUUUAAAAGAGUCGUAGAGGAUCAAAAUUUAAGGCAGACAGUCCACACAUGACGUUGUACUCAAGUACAGCAGGCACAGAAAGAAAGAAUAAAGAAUUAUGUCUUUCAGUUUCUGUUGUGAAAAUAUUGAUAGAUUGUUCUUCUGUUCUUGGUUUCAGAUUAAGUAAACCCUGGCCUGUAAAACUACUGAAAAUAGAUAAUCUAAAGUGCUGAUAGCUGAUAUGAUGCCAGUUUAAACCCCAAAUCAAUAAUAUAAUCCAGUAUUUCACCUGAAGUCAAUGUAAUUCUGCAUUUGAUAUCUGAAGACAUGGAAUUUACAGAUAAUUCUACAACAUUUUAUGACAAGAAUAUAUGGUUUGAUAUUAACAUGAUUAUUUCUUUUAUUUUUUUAAACGUGAUUCAGGUUGCUAAGUGGUUAAUAGGUACUUUUUGUUUUGCUACUUAAGCUUCAUACCAUUUUUAAUUCAGUUCCAACAGAUUUUGUUUUUGAAGGUUGGUGGAGGAAAGAGUUCUGAAAUAAAAUCAGUUUUCAGACUAGAAAACAUAUCACCUUUUCUCUGCUCAAGAAAGAAGGGACUGCUUCCUUUUGUCUUAAUUUAGAAACACACUAAUAUGGAAAAAUUCCAAUUCUGUUUAUCAGCCUGCCUCAUCCAUAACAACAUUUAACAGCUAUCAUGAGAAACACUACUGUAGAAUUUCCAAGUAUUUUACUUAAUGCUAUAGCAUUUUUUUGUUUGCUUUUCCUGACUUCACAGACUCUGAGAAACAACAACUCAUGGCUUUAACAAUUUUCAUGUGCUGUAUUCUGCAGUAAGAGUUUAAUUCUGUUGUUAUCUGUACGUACGAAAUACACCUUCUCACCACAAAACAGUAUAUCCUGAUCAUUUGCCUUUUAUAGUUUUCUGUGUGUGUUAUUUAGGAUUCUUACUGAGCCUGUUUAGAUUCCCUGAUGUUGUGUAGUGGUAGACAGAGCUCUUCAAGAGAUAAAAGUAUUUUUUAGGAAAUGAUCGUUGUCCUGUCAGUAUUGUCGCCUGCAACUCAGCUUGAUCCUACAAACACCUUUUACUAGGGGCACGGGGACUGUUCCUGCAUAGAUGUUUGCAGGAUCAUAGAGUGUAAAAGCAUCAUUUAAACUUUUCUGCUUCCUCAAGAUGUUCCAAGAUGCUGAGAUACUGUAUUCAAUGAAUUAAAAAUAUCCUCAAUGACAAAUUAUUAUUUUCAUUAUGGUAAUUUCUUCAGAGCACUGUUCCCCUCUGUUCACAAAAAUAAUCUAUACAAAGUUUAAAAGAGUAUACAAAUAACUGAUAUACACAUUAAAACCUAGCUAUUAAAUCCAGAGCAUUGUAAUAGAAAAUUCAGUGUUCUCAAUAUUACUUGGCCUACCUACAGUGGAUUUCUUGCAGUUAUGCUUAAUAUCCCUUUGGAUGCAGUUAAAUUCUUCCCUCAUGAUUAAAGAAUGGGGAAGAGUUUUAAAAGCCACAAAACCGAAAUAUAAAAACGACUUGAACAAAUUAAGAGUCUAGAUUUAUGAAACUUCACUGAACCAGCCAGUGUUUCUACUUGCCUUUGCCCUCACAAUUCAAUUUGAACCUGGCUCAGGCUAUCCACAGGAACAAUGAAGUGCAGUGAUCUCUCAACCUCCCUCAAGCAACAUUUGCUCGCUGUAUAAAUAUAGGCAGUUGAAAUCUCUCCUAUGUUUUCUUCUCUAAGAUGAGCCACACUGUGUUGUUCAUUUAAGCAUUACAAAAUCAGAGAUGUAACUUCUUUCUUAUAUAUUUGUGAUGCAUUUCCCUUGUCGUGCUUUGAAACAGUAAGUACAAUCAUUCUUUCUUGACUUGUGAAAUACAGCUUUCAGAGAGCCCUGAUCUGCAUUAAUGGUAGGAGCAUGGAGUAAUUCACUGUUGUAAACCUGAACGUCAAUAAGGAAUUACCUUCAAGCAUUUGUUCUUACAAACAUUUCUAUUGUAAUUUAUUUUAACUGCAAUCAGAAUAGUGUAAUAGGAUCUCUACAGUAGAAAGAGAUUUCCAGGUCAUUUUCUUAUUGGCUACAGCUUAAUCCCAGUGCAACUGUAGGUCUUGUGUAUCUAGAAAGUCAGUGGAAAAUACGCUGGGGGCAGUUGAACUGAGAGGAGUGAGUCCAGAUGAGGAGCUGGGCAUUGUAAUGUCUAGCCAUUCCAUAUUGUCUAAAUUUGUGUCAGGAAGGUCAAGAGAUAGACAAGAACUAUUAGUGGUAAACUGCGGGUCAGAUGUUUCCAUGGGUGAAUGAGAGUGAUCUAAAAUGCUGGAGUGAUUAAGCAGAUCAUUCUGGAGGUCUUCAAUUAAGGAAAAUGACUCUCUGUCCUCAUUACCGCUUGCCAAUUGAGGAAUCUCAUUACCUGAAGGUAAAGUUCCAUCCAAGAGGGCUUCAAGUUGGUUUUCCAGACUUAUAGACAAGCUGGUUGUUGGUUCUAAGGACACAGGAGGAGGGGCCAUUUGGAUCUGUGGUGGUGGGCGGGAUAUCACUGUAUUUACUGGCAUCGUAGUGAUGUUGGCUGUUACUGGUCUCAUUUUAGAAAUGGGAGACGGUUCUUCCUUUAUUGGAAGGGAAAUCUCUGUAAUAAUAACAAUAAAAACGAAACAAAACAAAACAAAAAAUGGAGUUCAGAAAAGACAGUGACAUUUCUUCAGGCUUACAACUACUCAUCUUUUGCCCACUUACUCUGAAGAUGUGCCUACAGUGAACUUCAACGGAGUAAGACAUACAUCAGACUAAGUAUGUCAGAUACUCUGUGAACAACAAAAUAUGUUAAGUUCCAGAGUUCUGCUUUCAAUAAUACUCCAGCUGAUAAGAUUAAUUUUAUCAAAAUGAACAGUUUUCUAGAUCUCAGCUUUACCUCCUUCACAAUUUAUAAUUUAUAGCUUUAUAUAUAUUUAGUUUUUAUAGUUUUACAUAUAUAGUUUUAUAAAUAGUUUUUUUUAUAUAUAACUCUCCUGAUAAACUAGAAUAAUUAUGGAAUCUCCGUAUUCCCUCUCUGAGGAAAGAGUACCUGAAUCAAUUUUCAGUUCAUCCCUGCUUACUCCCAUGUUGCCCUUAACAAAUUAGUCUGUGAGAUCAAUUAAUGCCAUUAGGACAAUUUUAUAACUGAUUCUAAAAUUUAAAAUUACUCUUCUGUCAAAAGGACCAUGCAAAUUAGUGACAGUAACAGUAAAAGGAAAUACAGCUUCAUGCAGAUUAGAUAUAUUCUGUCCUUGGAAGAAUUCUUUCAAUUCUUUGAUUAUAAUAUUGUUUUUAUUACCAGCUUUAAUUCUCUACAUCACAUAAACUUUUCUUGGCUUACCUCCACUCUUGAUGAGAAUAUCAAAAAGAUCAUCCAUCUGCUGACUGUGUGUGCUGGAAAUCUGUAAUAUGUGAGAAAAGCGUUAUUCUUUUUCAUGUAGUAUUACGUUACUAAGCUGAGAUCCUUGCUUCUCUGAACAGUACCAAGGUACUAACCUAUGAUCAGGACUAAAAUUCUUCGAAUGAAAUUGUCUAUCUAGAAAAUUGGGUUUGGAGAGACAUCUAUAAUCUAUCCCAUUGGUUUGAGUCCAAAGGAUUGGGAAAAAGCAUAUGAAAAGAAAGACAGAUUUCAUGGAGGCUACCUAGAAGAGAUGCAGAAAAGUGGGGAUAAGGAGAAUAGCUAUACCUCUGCAGCAGGAAAAUACUUGGAAGAGCAGCUGGACUAAGAGGCUGUACCCCCUGCUUUCUUUCAGAAAGAACUUGUGAAUAGUCGCCACACAAGAUGUAUAUAUAUAUAUAUAUAUAUAUAUGUAUUUACUAGUUGUAGAUUCAUGGUUUUUUUUUUAAGAGUGGAGAGAAAGUGUUAAUUAACUCUACAUUUACCUGUUUUAAACACUCAUCUCCUGAAUGUCUGAACCUUAAGCAGAAGAUAAAGAAAGCCCCACAGACACUCUCAAGCUUAGGCAAAGUAGAGACUUGUUUGAAGGUCUCAGAACUAAAGCUAUGUUUUAAAACACUGGUUAUACUCUGGAGAGUGAAAGCAGUUUGUCUUCAAGAAAUGUGGGAUGUGAAAAAGGGCCAGUGAGGAGAUGCUCUACUAGCUGGUCGUGAUGUGGUCACUUAUCAAGCUUAUUUCAAUUACCACGUUAAUGUUAUGGAACUUGAGAAGGCCCAAACAAUUUAGAGCUUUGGCUCUCUUUAACAAUUACUGAAGGAAAAAAGCAACAAGUAAAUCCUAUAUACAGAAUGCCUGAUAUGUUCAACAUAUCUUCAUUGUUUUUUACCAUUAGUUGCACAUUAAUGAUACAUUUUAACCAGUGAGAUGAGGGAAACUCAUGGAGAAGUCAGAGGAAGAUGUGGGGAGGUUAUUUUACAACAAAGUUUCUAUGUUUACACAAAAAGAGUGUUUUCGAGAGUGAGGGUGGGAUUUAACUGCCUGAAGGCAAGCAUCAAAGUGCUAUUUAAGAUUACCACACCUGCUUUUCCAGGGGGCAUGGCAUUCUAGUAUGUCUGAUGUCGCCUGUGCCUUCAUUGUGAGGAUGUCUUAGACAUGCCAAGCACGUAAGAAAUGCAGUUAGAUACCCGCGCUUCUGAGUGCUUGCCACCACAAACACAGCAGUCAGUGCUAAGUCAGAGUUGUCUCUUCUGGGAUUGUUCUAAUACACAUGAAGUUAGAAGUGCUCAUUAGAUAUGUUUACAGUUUCCUUUCAGUAUGAAGGAUAUGCGAUAAAUCAACAAUACAGUCUGCUGGAUUAUUCACCAAGCUCACCAAGCAGAGCCUUCUUUCAAGGAAAAUGUGUGCUCAAGUAUAUGUAUGUUUGCCUAUAUGCAUAUAAAUGCUUGCAGACAUUUUCCUCAAAUUUCCUCACUUUGGAAAGCAUCAACAUGCUUUCUUUCAGUCUGAAACAAUAACGGUUACUGUUAAGCAGUAACAGCAGCGUUAUCCCAACGGUAUGUUUCACCAGCUGGUGAAUCUAAAACUUAGUUACAUGUCUGUUAAUUUUAUCAAAAGGAAGAAGAGGAGUCCUGCAGUUAGGAAAUAUUAAUGGAGUACAUUAGAAAAUCUUAACAAAGAAAAAACUACACUAAGCAAUGACUUUUAUAAGUCAUUAUUCUAAAAAAUGAAGAAUGUUUUUCAAGGACUACACAAGUAAAAAUAACUACCUCACGGUGAGACGUCUGAAUAUUGCGGGUCUGUUUUAUGGCCUCUUCGUAACGGGGGGGGUCUUUUGUCUUGGAUACUGUGUUGUUGAAGAGGGACUGCUGAACAAUAUAAGACUGGCCUUGAGAUGGGGAGCCAGGCUGUGUGAAAUAACAAAAUAAUGACUAAACAAUACAUUUUAAUGAAAUUGAAAUGUAUCAAGGUCCACAGAUCAUCUUGUUCUGUCAUACCAACCUACAUUUACAGUAUAAUCAGAGGAAUAAAAUCAAGCUUUUCUCACACAAAUAUACACGUAUGCACUAUUAAAAUCUACAAAACAUUCUUCCUUGAGUGAACUGCAAUAUAGCCACCUGUUAUUUAAGAACAAUAAAAUAAAACAGAACUUUAUGGAGUACUGUUGGGCUACUCUUACCUUAUUAGGAGGAGCAGGUCCAUUCUGCACAGACGGAGUCUGAUUAUUACCACUAUGAAUGUUAGAGUUUGAUGUUUUAUUAAUAAAAGAUUGUGAAGGUGUUGUAACUGGCGCAGUCUGAUAUGAAAACACUGUAGUUGAUGUGGUAGGUGGAAAAACCUGUAAAGGUUUAAGAUAUCAGUCUUAAUAUUUCAGUUUUUAAGUUACUCCAACUGGGUAAAUGAUAUUAAAAAAAGUUUAAAACUUUUUUUUUUAAAGUACUUGCUUAAAUUUCCUGUUAAGGGAAUGUUACUUGUACCUGUUUGUCACUCCAGUGGAUUAAUUUGUAAAGCCAGAGCUAAUACACUUGGAAAGAAACUCUGUGUGGGAACAUGCUUUCAUUCACUCCAGAUAAAUAAAACAUUUCCUUGCAACUCUCCAAGAAGCAUGAUACUGUAUAAUUUAUUUUUUCUGAGAUACAUUCAGGAGUAUAGAACAAUUUAAUACAGUACGUGUAAUUUCCCUACCAAGUGGGCAGCCAAUGAAAUGAGCUAAUUUCUGGCAUUACCCAAAAGCCUCUAGAACACUGACAGGAUGGGGCAUCGACCACCUCUCUCUCUAGGAAACCUGUCUCAGUGUAUGACAACACUCACGGCCUGGACAUUUUUCCUUAUGUCCAGUCUGAACCUUCCCAGGUGCUGCUCUGUGCUGUUCCCUCAUGUUCUAUCACUGGUUCACAGGGAGAGGAGAGCAGUGCUUCUCUCCAUGCUUCCCUUCCUCAGGAAGUUGCGGAGACCAAUGAGGUUCACCUCUCAGCCUCCUCUACUCCAAACUGGACAACCUCAGCCUUCCUCACAGCCCUUUUGCAUGAGGCAGUCUGAGUGCACAAGGCUGCUCUUUUUAAUUCAGUAUCACACAGAUACCUUAAUGACAAAAGUGAGAGAAAAUCUUAGGUAAGAGAUGGAGAUAAAGCUAGGAUAAGCUUUGUGGAGUAGAGUUUUAACACCAAAAGAGAUCUGCUGUGAGAGGGAUUAAAGCUGUUUGUUAGCUAUAUGGAUCAUCUGUGUGAAAACUGCUGUAUUUUUCAGCUGUCUACAGCUAAGCUGAACAGCUGUGGAGAUAUUUCCUUGUUAAUGAGUGAAUUGAAGAACAAGGACCACUUGGGAGCUGGUAUGCAAAGAGACACCUCAAGUGUGUAGCAGAAAGCAGAUGCAAUCAUCAGCUAGUUUGCAUAUAAAAUCUGAGCUCCCUGAGAAAGGCUGGAAGGAUUUGAGAGAAACUAGUUCUGGAAAACAACUAUUAGUGGAGAUGAUCAUUAUUAGGAAGGCUAACUUCACUAAAGAGCGUUAAAUUAAUUAUCAGCAUUACUGACAGUUCACUAGCUGUAAUGGCUCAAUAUGCCUGCUGAGAUAUCUAAGGCUCAUGAAUGAAACAGAAGACAGGUAGAACUAAUGCUGAAUGCAUGAAGGCUGUUCUUAUCUAUUGUACUGCAUUAGUGUUUUACAUUUUGAUGUUAAAAAAAAGAAAUGUAAUUGCACUGGCAGUUUUCUUAUGUAAAAGAUGGCAAUAGAUGUGCGAGAAAACCAGCUGGGAUAAGAGCAGGCUGCUCAACUCCAGGGCAGCCACAUGUAGAGUGAAGAUUAUCUCCUGCCAUUGUUUCUGGGAAGUCCUUGGCAAAUAAGGAAGCAAACUGCAAACUUCUGGCAUGAGUACAUGCCUAAGGAUGACUAGAAAAUUUCUGUAUGGGAGCUAUCCAAUUAACAAGAUAAGAUUAGACCCGUAGCAAAUCCCAACAGUUUUGGCUUCAGUAGGAUAACCUUAAUGCCCAUGAAGUUAAACAGCUUGAACAGGAAGUUUGGAGAGUGAUGAUGCUCAUUUAGUCGUGUUCCCCUUUACUCUAGUGAGCAGUCUAGAGAUAGAUUGGCAAUUACCUAACUUAUCAAAAUUAUCCUCUCAUUUUGAAAUGUUAAUUGUUUCUAGAUUAUCCUUUCCGUGGGGCAAACUGGAAAACCUUGUUUUCCUAAGUGACUGGAACCUUAGAGAACACAGCACUGGUAAAGAAGCAAAACUAAUCUCUUAGUUUCUGGAUAAGGCUCAAAGGAGGAGAAAGCCAUUUCUUAUGAGUGGUUAGUGCUGUUAUCAGUCACCAAGUGAACAUGACUGGGUUGUGCAUCCAGUGCUGAUGCACAUCUGUUUUGGAAUGAGAAAUUUCAGAACUGACAGUUUUGCAUACAGAGAAAGAGAAGGAUCUCUCUGCACCAUUCCUUGCAUUCCUCAGUAAGAGAAUUAUCCGAGGUGUGGUGUGGUUUUGAAUCUUUGCAACUGCUGUCCCUAGUAUCUUGAGUCUGUAGCUUUCUUCAUCAGUAAGGAUGAAUCAAGGACAGUGGGAGCACUGAAAGGAACUCCCAGAAAUGCAUGAAUAUCUGCAGUCAUAGGUAAAAGCUUUCUCUGAAGAAAUGCCUACAAGAAUCUUCCAUUUUGAGACGGUGGCAAACAGGAGAAAUUGAUUGGAAUAGCUGCUAUGCCACUUGUGCGAGGCAUGAGAAAGAAUGGAGUGUGUUGUAAGAGUACCAUUAAGACAAAAAAAAAAAAAAAAAGUAUUUAGCCUUCCGUAUUUAUUUGCAGCUGAAUAAGUAGCCCUGCAUGGACUAAAAUGUUGGAAUGAGAAUGAGUUACUAGCCCAUGUUAUCCCAUACAAAGAUGUACGGAGAUGUUAAGAACUUGUAUGUGACACAUAUGACACACAAAAGUUUGUAAAAGUGCUGCCUAGAAUUAGAAUACAUGAUAGUACAUCUAUUAAUGCUUACUGCUAUCCACAAACCUUUCUGAUUUGUUGGGUCUGACCAAGUGCAUGCUGCGUGAUGGUGUUUUGUUUUGAUUGUGGAGUAUGCGUCUUAGGUGCUGUCUGGACCAGGCCAGAGGAAAGAAUAGGAGCAGGUAUUUGUGAUGGGGUCUGUAUUCCAGCUUGUGAUUGACCCUAAAGGAUGAAGAUAAAAUAUUUACAUUAUUUGUAUCUCACAGUAAAUUACAUUAUGUAAAAAUCUGUUGCAUAGGUUACACAGAAAAGCUAUAGCAUGUAUUCCAAGAGGUAUCAAUGUGAGCCGUGAACAGGGAAGAAUAAUUUUAUUCUCUCUGGUACUGGUAGGCUCUAGCUGUACAGUGCUGUUUAUUUUGGCACCUCAGUUUAAGAACAAUGAACACAAACUGGAGAGGGCCCAGUUAAGAGUAAUGAAAAUAGCAGGAGAUAAAGAGAGCAUGACCAAUAAGAGCUGAAAAAAAAUGGAUUUUAGUAACCCUGAAGACAAAACUGAUGAAGCAACAUGACAAGAUUUCUAGCAUGUAAAAAAAGCUGUUUUAAGAAUAUUACUGUAGUUUUUAAAGGCAAGUUGCAUCUAACCCCAGGUUAGAUAGUUUGAGGUGGAAGUUAAGAAAACUUCCUGCAGUAUCAAUGAAGUGAAAUACCAGAAAAAGCUGCUUAAUGUUUUUACAGAAUUCUAUCAGGAUUCCAGAACAAUUCAGACAAAGAUCUGUGUGGGUGGGUAGCCACCACUGCAGAUGGUAGGCUUCAACCCCAUCACAACUUCGUAGUCCUCAUAAGGGCUACUAAGUGUGACUGCACACACACUAGCAACAAAGCCCAAACCCAUAAUACGCCAUAACAUCAAGCACAGACUGGAACUGAAACAGUGCUUUGCUGGCUUUGUGUCCAUGAGAGUGGUAGGUGAUUUCAUGCAGCUAGCAAGCAAUAGCAGUGCCCUGGGAAAUCUACGUUUAAUUCUAUCACAGAUCAAGACUAUAUUCAACCUCAUCAGAUUUCUCUUGUAGCUCUACAUUUAUAUCCUAUUGUACUUUAUUCUGCAUUUAUUCACAGUGCUAUGACUUUAUAAUCAGUCUGGAAAUAUUAUUUGUGUAAACAUGGUUUCUUUUUAUAACUCCCCCUGAGCUCUGCAACCCAGUGUUCAUAUUUUUAAAUGUAAUAAGCCACCAGAACACAAUGACGUUUGAAUAUGUAUUUUUAAAGCAGGUAUACCUUGAAGUAAAAUGCUGGGUUUUAAGCUGAGAUUUUUUUUUUUGUUUGUUUGUUUGUUUGUUUUAGCUACAGAGGUGGAAUUUGUUACUUGGUACUAUAUAUCUAAAACAACUGUGCACAGAGGGAAUACAUGGUAAAACAAUUACUGCUCAGAAGAAAGAGUCCAGGAAGUCAAAACUGUUUCCAAGAUCACAAAGAAAACAAUUCCUAAAAGUUAUAAACAGGUUGGCUCUUAAAGAGUUUCUCAUCUUUCCUGUAAAGCAAAAACAAGCCUGAUUUUUACCAGUUAAUCUUAUAAGCAAUAUAUUUAUCAAUCUAUAUUAAGUUAAGCAAAUAUUGACAUGUGUUUUUAUGGUGAAAAAUGAAAACAUCCAUACCUGUAGCUUUAUAUUUCCAACUGGUAGCUGCACUGAAGUGGUAGAAUUCGGUCCCUGGAUAGAUAGUGGAAGGAGCAGCUGUGCAGUUCCUUGGGUAGUCAGUAAAGCUUGAGGUGGGGCAACAACCGCAGUUUGUGGUUGCCUCUGUGGAUUAACAUAAAAUUGAGAAAUCGCAUUCUGAGGGUCAGCUUUGGCCACAGGUAUCUCCUGCUUGAUGAUAACUGCCUUUUUGGCAACUGGAUUCUGUCCACUGGUGUACACUGAUUGUCCUAAAGGAUGACUAUCUACAGAUACAGAUUGACUUGUGCUUGAGCAAUCAGUAAGAACAUUUUCAUCUUUGACAGCAGCACUGAAUUGCUUCUGUUCCAAAGCAGCUGAGUUACCAGAAGUCUGAGACUGUUGCUGUUGUACCCUUUUUUCAACCUCAAGUUGCAUUUUCAGUACUUCCACAAGUUUCUGCUCUUGUUCCAGUUUCCUUUUGAGCUCUUCAAUCUGUUUUUCUUUUUCUUGAAGCUUGCGGUCCUUUUCUGCUACAUCAAACUCCAUGCUUGAGAUGUUUCCACUGCUACAAUUCUGAUUAUCAUCACUUGUAUUUGUUCUUAGUGGCGAAGUACUUAAGAACUGGGAUGGUGACACCAUGGUCAUCAUUUCUGUGAAAGUAUCUGCCAUACCAGUAUCAUCUGUGCUUAGAUUAGAUUGUUCUGAAGGGGAGGGAGAUAUAGGCAAAGGAGAGCUAACGUUCUCAGUAUUUACUGCUUUGCAGCCAGGUCCAGUAGUUGUUUUUUCUGGAGGAAAGCUGGAUAUUGUAUUAGCCACAGUUUUAUUUAGUGUUGUAACAGGAAAUGCCACAGCCAUUUCCCCUGUGUUACCUGUGGCUCCAGUAGAAGUAGUGAUUGUAACAGAGCUGCAAGUAGUGACUCCAUUAUUAUUAAGAUCUUGGUAGGGUUUCAGACGCUCAAUAAGAUCAGUUUUUGUGCCAGACACUGGUAAUCCCCUCAACUUCAACUCCAUUUUAAGCUCUGCUACCUGUGAUAAAGUAAAGUAUGAUAGUAAACAACAACAAAAAAAACCUCUUACCUAAAAAUAAAUAUACACUUUUUCCUCUUUCAAGUUCAAAAAACACUCACCUAUCAAAAACCUAACACCUCGGUAGAGAGAAACAUAUCAAAUGCCCACUAGAUGUCCCCACUCUUGUGCUUGAGUCUAGUUCCUCUGUGUCACUGCUACUGAAAAAUAUCUUAAGCUAAACCCCCACAAGCCUCUUCAGAUUCAUUUUCAUUAUGUCCUUGAUAAUAUUAAUUCCUGUUAAUGUUCUUCUGAAGGAAGAAUCACAUGACAUACAUUCACAUCAGAAUUUAAAAAGAGUCUACAGUUUGUAGCUUUUAUGAAAUUUAGUGUUUGUUUUCAGAUGAUGUGCUGAACUCUGAUGACAAAAUCUUCUUAGCAGUGUUAUGUCUGUGCAGACUUCAGAGCACUGACCUCUCUGAAUGUGUAAUUAUUAGGGCAUGUUUUAAUUUUUAUUCCCUAACUAAACCUCUUCAAUGAAAUACUAAAAUUAUUGUGAAGAAAUUGCUGUUCCAGUGUUAAAAUCUGUCAGGGUGGAGAUUUCACAUGAAGUUCACCUUACAGUUUAUAAAAGGUAUCAAACUGUGUACUUGUACAAUGGCUGAAAUUCUUUGUCCUCUUCUAAUACCUUGGGAAAUAAAUGUCACUGUUAUAACACACGCUUAUGAGGACAAAACAAAUAUUUUAAGUCCAGAAGAGCUGUGUAUUAAAUCCUCACUACUCUAUACUAAACAGUUAAAAGAAAAAGAUGCUUAUCAUUGGUAAAUAAUAUUUAGACUUAUUCUUGAUAGUAAUUGUUUGCAUUUUAUGACCUCUCCUGAUAUUUAGGAAUGGAAAAAUCUCUCUUUGUUACCUUCAAGUCAUCCAAGCUUGAAGGCAGAGGUCCUGGUUUCCGGCUAGGAACACUACUGUUCUGUCUCGUUGAGUUUGCAGCUGAUGUUGGUGUGUUGUUGUUCAAAGCAUUUAGUGGCGUGUUCCCAUUGUUAUUCUGUUUGUCACUCAGUGGCCUUCAAAAAAUGAGAAAAAUUAGGACAAUAAUGUGAGUGCUAAAUAUACAAUCCAUGUAAUAUACAAUACAUAUGUUUUACAUUCUUUUCAGUCAAGAAGCUGUGAUUCUGUAAACUUAAUGAAGAGUGAUUUUUAAAAAGUAUAUGUGUAAUGUGACAUUAAAAUAUUUUUAAUAAAACACCACAGAGAAGAAAACAUACAGAGAAUACUAUAUUGAUAUUUUAUGUGUCGUUAAGCUUACAUAUUUAUGCUUCACAUUUUUUAUUAUUGUCAUAUUAUCCUGUAAGGGUAUUGCAGAGUGCAGAAAUAGUUUAUACUAACUCAUCAUUAACUAGAGCAGUCAGUUACUUUCCUGUUUGAUGUCAGAAAAAAGCCCCAUAAUGGUAAAAUCUGUGUAUCAACUCUACAUGCAAGUCCAAUGUCCACAUCCAGUAAGGAACAAAGCAAAGGCAGUUUACUCUGAAGAUGACGUGCUUUGAGUCAGUGGCACUCCCAUAAAGAAGAAUCUCACUUCAGGAUCUCAAAAUAAUUGUUAAAAAUUUUUAAAAUGCCACCAUUUACACUAGGUACCAUAAAUUAGCUCUCUAUUUCGUUCAAGUGGUUUAGGAAGAAACAUUUCUGAAAUGUCAGAAAACAGAACAUAAGAAGCGUGGGUAAGCAGGCAGAAACAUCUCUAGUCUAAAUGUUAGGAUACAUGGUAAUUAUAAAUAUAACCACAGAUGGUAUUCUUUUACUUUUCUAGCCUCAUUUGCAGAGGAAAGAAAACUUGGAGAAAGCUCAUUAAAAAAAAAAAAAAAAAAAAUCCCACCCCCAAAACAAAACUAAACAAAACAACCAAAAAAAAAAAAAACAAAAAAAAAAACAAAAAAACCCACAACAGGUGAAAGCCACUUGAAUUUAGGGUUGUGUGACUGUGGCACAUUACAAUGUAAGCACUUCUAGGAAAAGAAUGAUGGUCUUAGAUGGUGAGAAUGAAACUGCAGCCAGCCAGCUCCUCUUUCUGCUAAAGGCUGCUGGCAACUCUCUUUAAGACUUAUUUUUCUGACUGCUUCUAUCUAUAAAACAAAGUACACUUCUCAUUGUUAAAAGUGCUGAAGAGUUCACAUAAGCGCUAGAGAUGAGGCUAUAAACAUACACAUUUUACAUAAUUAAAAAGACUCUUUUACUUGAAAAUGGCAGGAGUUGAACUGAUGUAAGAGGACAACAAAAACAGCAGAACAGCACACAUCUUUGUAAAAGCUGCUGUCUGUGAGUUUCUCUUCUGUGCUGCCUACCGCAAUCAUAUUUGAGUGCAAAUGGUGACAGAACUUUCUUGCUUUCACAUACACGUUUUGAGUUUCAUUUAUGUCUCUGGGUGGAAAAAAUGUAACUGACAGGUAGAAGAUUCUACUUCCAUGUCAAACUAAAAUAAAUAGGACUUGUUAUAAGCUUUUCAGACUUCAGAAGUAUUUUGAGAACUAUCUCAUCACUUUGUUGAGGUUAAAUAAUACCCACUAAUGCAUGUUGCCAUUUAAGUUUUCUCAGUUUCCAUCUGUCUCUAACAUUUGAAAGACGCGUUUACUUCUAAGGCACGAAGCCUACAACUGAUGCUUAUAUGCCUCUAAAAGACACUUAGAAAACACAAAGAAAGCUUCACAUACUUCAGUGGUGCAGGCAGAAUUGUCUGGUAGUUGUAGUGUUGUUGCUGUUGGCUCAGGAUCUGCAGCUGCAAAAACAGUUGCUGCUGCUGUAGCAAACGAGCAUAGUUUGAGUCCAUCUGUGGCUCGUUCUUCUCUCCUUUCUGAUCAGGUGGAAUAUACUGAUGAUACUUCAAUUUUUUCACCCUUGGUUUAGGUUCCUUACAUUUCUUACUCCGAUGCUUAUCAUUUGGGUUCUUUGGGUGGCUUUGCUAAUUAUGCAUGGAAAAUAUUGAAACAACUAUAAGAGACAUUGUAUUUAUGAGUAGCUAUGCAAGAUACAAAGAUAAAGUACACAGCAAUGUAUUUACUGCAAAGAGAGCUGCUGAAUACAAUUGUCCCUGCAAUCCCACUCAAAAUGACUGGUCAUCAUCCUUGAAAAGAUAACAUAUGAUAGCUAUUUGAUACUUGUGCAUGAGAAGGGGCCAUCAGAAAUUAUACUUUGUGAAUAUUUUCUUAGUACAUGGCAUAAAUGAAGUUAAAGGAUUCUGCUAGUCAUGACCUGUCAUUAUAAAGAGACAUUCUUCUGAAGGAGCGAAGCUCAAAGCUGCUUACACUUUAUAAAUGUGAAAGAUAAUAACUUAAACACCAUCUGUAAGCACCCACAGGUCAGAAGUACUUACAGGUCUAGAUUAAAAUCAGAGACAGACUGUCCUAUCAAGUCCAGGAUUACUCUAAUGGAGCUUUCAGCACCGCUUUUAUCAGCAAUAUCUUACAUAUGGUAAAAUGCACUUCCUUUACAAGCUCUUUGAAAUUAUUUUGAGUGACAAGUUGAAGACAGUUACCUAGUCACACAGAAGGCAUCAAAGCAGAAAUCCUGUGUUGAUCCAUGCACAAUUACUACGCAAGUACCUUGUUUUGGGGGAAUAUCUGAAUUUGUCAUUAAGGUCCUGCAGUGAGGUAAGUUGGUACAAGGUUUCACUAGAUAUAGCCAAAUUUAUACUAGAAAUUGACUAUUAGAGGUCAUCCUCUGAGAAUUAUUUUCACGUAGAUAGGUAGAAGUCUACAUAGUGAAAUCACUAUAGAGCUGAAACAAGACAGACGUUUUCCAACACAAACCUUUCUCACACUGUAUUUGUAAAAGUCUUCCAUGCUGCUGGAUAAGGCAGUGUAGAAGACAGAACUGAGUGCACCUUUCCAAUCUUCAAAUACAAGGAUACAGUAACUUGAGUGCUUUAUUCUCAUAUGAUAAACAAGCUACAAAUAUAUUUGUAUGUUCACUGGUUUGGCUAUAGGUAAAUUAUGAAUGCAUUUGCCUCUGUUACUAUUAAAUUAUUCCCCAUACAAAGCUAGAUUAGAAGAUUAAUUUCUCCAGUAGAAAAAAGAAAAUCAACAUUGCAAAAAUCUAAUAUUACUUCUCUAUGUAUUUUUUAAAAAUUCAGUAACAAUGUAGGGCAUCACUCUGCUUCAAUACUUUAUUCAACUACACUGUAAGAACCUCUUGAAAUAAUCAGCCAGCCCUUACAAGUGUUAACAGUUGAUCUCAGUGUACCAAAGCCUCCCAUCAACAGCAAAGUAUGUUCUGAACACUCAAAGCAGUUUUUAUUAGUUAUGGAUACUGUAACAUUACUAACAUAUUUCUGCAUUGAAUGUAGCCACUGAAAAACAAAACAGAUUAAGAACUGUCUUCAGAUGCCAUUGUUUCAGAUAUCUACCUUUACUAAUGUUGGCCCAGGCUUUGCUGCAGACACAGUACUUGUGGUCAUGGUGGGUGUAGCAGUAGAACGUGUAACGUGUUCGAUUGUGGGAGGAGUUUUAAGGAAUUCAGGAACUGGAGAGGUUAAAGGUGGAUACUAGUAUUAAAAAAAUAUAAGGAAGAAGAGAAACAUUAAAAACAUCCACAGCAUCUGAAUAAUCAAAAACACGUGAAGCAGUUAAGACAGUUCACAAAACAGUUUUAGAAUAAAUGACAAAAAUAGGACUCUUCCAUGUACACAAGUGUGCUAUAAACACACAUUUUGGCACACUUCAAAUAUAGCAAUUAAUAAACUGAUUUCUUACCUUGACUUCUCAGUUCAUAUUUUAAUUACUGCAUCUAAAUGUAUCAAAAAUCUCAUUUUACUCAUACAGGAUUUACUUCUAGUCUCACUAGGACAAAGCAAUAAUUGAUUUUAAUAUCAUUUUUUAAUAGUAUGUAAUAAAUAUUUUUACAACAAUGAUUCCUUACUUAAUUAGUACUGUUGACAUUUUUGGCAAGUAAAAAGAAUGAUAACCAUAAAGGAUUUAUAAAACAUAAAAGAAGCCCUCAGAAAGGGCAGUGCACACAUAAUGCUCACACUGUGUCUUGCUUUACAGAAGUAUUUUCUCCUUCAACAUACAUGAAAAACAAACAGAAAAGUAUCAUUUUUUUCUGGUUUGAAGUUCCUACCCUAUCAUUCUGAGAAAUCCAUGAAAAAAAGUAGCUGGAAGGGCAUUCAGAAGUAACCUGAUCCACUCAAGUCAGGAACAUUUUACCAAAACUACUCCUAACAUAAGAGGGCUGCUCCGAAAGUAAUGCCUCCUAUUGGCAUUAUGACAAUGUUGGCCUAUGACAGUGUUGUUGCUGCAUGACAGAUGGCAGCAGAGGGGCACUCUGACAGAAUGGCUCCUGACAUGGAAGUGUGGAUGGAGCAAAGGGGUGGAACUGAAUUUGCCCACUGGGAAAAAAUGGCCCCCACUGACAUUCACUGACACAUGUGAAUACUGAUGGAGACCAAACAGUGGAUGUCAGCACAGUGAGGCAGUGGGUGGUGCAUUUCAGCAGUGAACGACACACCAUGUUCCAGAUGACCACGUGCAGCUGUCACACUGUGAAAUGAACAGCUCUUGUUCAUCACUGGCAAAAAUGUGUAGCUAAUAGUGGUGACUACAUUGAAGAACAGUGUAGCUGAAAAUCUGCCCUAUCAAAUAUUGUGGUCUUUAUAUUGUUUCUAAUUUCCAUGGAAAUAAAUAGGAGGCAUUACUUCUGGAGCCUACAUAGUUCUUAACUUUAUAAUUGCAAAAUUCUUCAAGAACUGACAGCUAUCACUGGAGUACCUUUGUACCUAGCACUAUAACAACAAAAACAGAAAUCUUGUCUUUAAGGUAAGGACUACAGGAAAAGCUGUCAAGUUCCUUCCUUGAUACUGCUACCAAACUUUCAUACAUGAAGGCUUCUACAACCACAGUUACAGAUUUUAAGAAUACAAAAAGUUCCUGAAGGUUUUUUAUAUAGAAAUAAGUGGAGAUUUUAUUAAUUAUAUGAUUUUACUGAUUUUAAAUAAAAGGAGGGAGAGGUUAAAGAUAGCUAAAGAAAGAAUGGAAUGUACUGUUACCAAUCGUUUUCAGGCUUACCACUGUUUGAUACCGAUCUGCUUGAAGCAACAUUCAUAAAUAUCACCUUAAAAUUUGACCCUGGAUACACCACACCUAUACUUGAAGCAGCUGACUGAAGUUACAGAAAAACACCAUAUUUAGAAAAAACACCGUUAUUUACUGAGUUGAAGCCUUCACAGUUUUCUGUGUGAAGUCAGAAUCUUGUGGACACAAAGAAAAUCUUACCCCAUGAAUUAGUGCUCUCAGAAAAACCUUUCAUGAAGGUCAAGAAUCAACAUAGGAAAAUUAACCUAUUUUUUUCAGAAUGAGCACACAGUAUUAAUGCAGCCACAUAAUUUGAAGAAAUUAUCUUCAGUAGCAUUUGCUAAGGAGGUGCAACCACUAUGAUGUUACUGAGUAGGUAUAGUUCAGUAGCCUGCACUUUCCUGAGUUUGUUUCCUUGCUAUUACAAGCACUGUGUGUAUUACUUCAUCUAUAAAUGUACCAAAUACCAUAAAGACUUAGGAUUUUCUUUUAAUUAGUAUUUUCCAGCCACCACGAUUCCUGCCAGAAAAUUCCAAAAUGUUUUCUAACAUAACAAAAUUUCAUUGAGCUCAACUCUUCAACAUCCACUCUUUCUGUGCUGAAAGCUGCAAAUAGGCUACCUAGCUCUCAUAAGCUAUUUAAACUGUACAGUGGUUUUGAUCCUUCUUUUCCUUUUCAUUUUUUUAGCUAAGUAAUACUUUCCAAGAUCUUGAUCAGCCAAACUCCUGGCAAUUUUUACUCUGUAAGGACCUUUUAUUUUCUGAGAAUAUUUCCCCCCCUUUCUUAAAGGUGGAGUCUCUGGGAUAUCUGAUUUUACAUUAUUUCAAAAUGUAUGUUACUGAACCUCAGAGAAUUCCACAUACAGUGCAGUGUAUUUGGAAAAAAGCACCUCUGUUUCAUUGCUACUGGGUGAAAAGAAACAUGUAGCACAGCCAUCCACAGGAAAGCUUCUGAUACUGCUUUAGUGAAUGGUAAGAUUUAGUAUGCCAUGCUUAGUCAAUGAAACACUGCACAUGUCUGUCUUGUGUGAGAAGCAGGAUAAAGAUAUAAAUACCUCUGUUCUUAUAACCAACUCUAAAAGUGUUUGCUCCGUCCAUUAUCUACACAGUACCUGUUAUUUGCUGGUCUUGGAUAAGAAAUGGCAGGGGACUUCAGAAGGACUAAUCCUUUAAGAAAGGUGUGUGGAUGCUGUAACUUAUCAUAUUGUAUCACAUUUAAUGUCAAGUUUAAAAAGACUAUUCAAGGUAUAGCAGUGUUAUUUUAAAAAGCACCCAGUUGGUCUUCUAGUCAAAGUAUCUAUCAUAAACCACACUAAUGUAAACAGGAAAAUAUUGAUGAUUAAUGUAAUGAUUGUCAGUAGUUCUUAAAUUUCCUUUUUAUAAAGUCUCAACUAAAAAUAAUUUAAAAUAUUUGCUAUUUCAGCUUAUUCAUUACAUAAUCUUUCAUAAUUUGUCAUUUUGAUCCUUUUUGGAUGUCAGUACAUGACAGUAACACGAAUUCAAACUGCUUAGUGACUCGUUAUAGGAACAGCUGCAUGAAGAGAACACAAUAAAACAGUUUAAAAUGGAAAAGUCAGUAUCUUUCAGAAAACGAUCUCUUAAAUUCUGCUGCUUGAAACUCAUGGUGUUAAAUAAUCACCUUGCCAUAGCGUUUUACUUCUUCCUUACAUUAACUAUCCUGAACUACAAAGGACUUUACCUCUAUGAAAUAAAAGACUUUUUACAGACUUGCCAAUUUUACUGCAAGUGCCAAUGAGGCAAUUAACCACGUAUGUCAUUUACCUGUUGCGCUUUUAAAUCUUAGUUUAAGAAUGUAAACAGAUCUCAGCUUCUUCACUUGAUUACUUCACAAAGUAAUGUAAGGAUUACAUCAUAUGAACAGAUCUUUUACUUCCAGAUACAGAUGAUACUAUUUCUGGACCUUUUCUUGUAAAUGCAAAUAAGCAUUUAGCAGGUCAACAAGCUGCAGUGAAUAUAUUAUGAAAAUAGUUAUUCAAUUCUUUCUCAUCAAACAAAAUUCAGCUGUUUUGAAGAUAAUUGUUUCGAUGAUAACUGUUUAACACCAUCAGAAUUGUUGUUGUAAAGCACCUCACCCUUAGCAGAUGCAAAUACAUCAGGUCGAAUCAAGUUUUGGGUCAUCAGUAAACAUGAGCUGAAGGUUCCCAAAGUUAUGUUGCUUUCUCUGAGGCUUGAAAAAGUGUGGAGGAGGAAGCUUUGAAAAGAACGCUGGCUGCACUUCACUGUUUUCAAAAUAUUCUUUGUACUUUCUAUUGCAAUAAGAUGUAAAAUUUGUCAGAGGAAAUUAGAAGAAUGAAGGAUCAAUUUCCAAGACAGAACCUGCAGAGACAUGCUGGCUCAUUUUCUUUAUUUCAUAAGGAACAAUAAAGUAAGCAUCAGUUUUAUUCUGCAGAGGAGCAGCUUUGCAUUUUAGGUCUGUACACAGAAGCGAUUGUAAUGCAUUAUCAAAUCCAUAAGCAGAGGAUUGAAGAUCUUUUCAAGUGCCCUUCCAGUCAGCUUCAAGUGCUCUGUUGUUUUGUUGGUGCAAUCAUGUAUCUAUCUUACGCUUCCUGCUUGUAAAGCUUUUGGCAUGUAUUGCUCUGAGUAUUUUUAUUUAGCUCUCCAUUUAGAAUCUAUUUCUUAGGAAUCUAAUUUCAUGUGGUUUGUUUUCAGUUUCUUCAGCACAAACCAUAUUCAUUUGAUAUGAAACUCAAUUAAUGUCUUAUUUUUUAUGUUAGGGAACAAUGAAAUAGAGCAGAUGUGCAUUACAUUGUGUCUGGCAUUGUUUUUUGAGCAUGAACUUUGCAAUAUUUUUGAAUUACUGCAUUAAUAAGUAAAUAAAGGACAGUAUCAAGUUGUCCAUGGCCAUUAAAAGAAUUGGACAACAAUGUCUUGGGAGAACAGGCAACAUUAAUCUCAUAUACAGCUGUUUAAUUUUACAUUACUUUAUAAACUAAGAACUCAAUAUUCAGUUCUGUCUUAUCUUUCGGUUUGUGUUAUUUUAAAAACUGCAGCGUAGCUUCCCUGUGCAGAGCCCUGGCUUUGCUAUAAAUCCUCUGGCACUUUAAAUACAUAAAUAAAAGCAUUUUCUACAAGCACGCUUAAUAGAACAACAAGCAUAAAAACAUGGCUCGUUUGUGGACUUUCCUGAUUGUUUAACAAAUCACUGUCAGACAACACAUAACAGCUCUGCUGCUUUUUCCUCCUCUGAAGCUUUUCAUCUGUGUCUUUCUCUGCCAAAAAAAAAUUUCAUAGGAGGAAAAGCAGAAAGCUUGAAGACAGACAUUAAGUAAUCAAUAACAGCCGUAGCAAACCGUGGAUGUGGCCUUUUAAACAACUUCUUGGAAAGCAGCAGUUUUUCUACUGGCCAUAAUGAAUUUCAGUGAAUCUGUACUAUGGGAAUUUCAUCACCGCCAACAGCCAAGCAAGGACUCCAGUCCAUAAUUCUUAACAGAAAGUGGAGUCCCAGUCAACUCUUUGCAACAGCAAAGAUAUUAAUUUCAUGUGUAACUGUGCCCCAUUUCUACAGUUCCAAAAAUAUACUGUGGAGAUUUUACUUCAGUGUUUUAGAACUGUACCUGUGUUGAAGUAGUAGCAUUUGGUGUUAUUGGUGAUGGUGAGUCACUUGUUUUUGGCUCACCAGGGGAAGCAGAACCUUGGGAUUCUUGGCUGGCUGGCUGAUCUGGUGAUAAAGCAUCACUGCUGUCUUCAUCAAAUGAAUAGUCAUCCAAAGCUUGAGGGUAACUCUCUUGUCCAACUGCUAGAAUGUUUAUAAAGAAACAAGCAAAACAAUUCUUUUUAGUUAUACAAAUUAAAUUUAGAUGCUUACUAGUGGCAGAAUUAGGUAGCUGCUGGAAACUGACCACUUUUCAGGUCAGUCUGAACGUAUUGUAUGUUAAGUAUUUUACUGCAUUUUUCAUAUAAUGAUAGCCAUAUAGAUGAUAUUAUUAAGAAACAAAUACUUUCAGAUGAAUGAUUAUGGUCUACAUAUUUCUAACUUGGCUUUGAACAAAAACUGGGUAACUAUAUUCAGUUAAAUGAUGACACAACUUAGGCGUCAGAAGCUGAAAGAAUAAGAACUAGCAAACUGUAUGUUUUCUUCUGGUGAACUUUACUCUUAAGACUUGAUAUAUGCUGUAGCUCUUCUACUUGCCUAUAAUUGCCUCUUUAACACUGGAAUCUACAGGCAGAAUAUUUUUUUCUACCAGUUCCAUAGGGCCAGGCCUCUGCGCAAUCUUCUCAUUCAGAUCAUCUGCCAAGCGAGCUCUCUUCAGUUUCAUCUGAGUGGCUUGCAACGAAGGCUCUGCAAAGGUCUCUAAAAUAUAUGUUGAUUUAAAUAUUCUAUUCAAUCUUUCUCCAAUUUCAUGACAACUAGCAUUGUCUCACCUAACCAUUUUACCUACAUCAAAAACAUACAAGUAUUAUUUGGAAAACUCUCAAACUAGUAUUACGAUGAUAUGAAAAGAUACUUUCCAUCUCCAUGUUUACAUUUUCUAAAAAGUAAAAUAGAUAUAUACAACCUAUUUUUUAAAAGCAAUAAUAGUUUUGUAAACAUUUUUAUAAUGUCCAAGAAUAAAGCAAGGAAUACAAAACAGCCAAUUCUAAUUAAAAUUUAAAGAUACCGUUCGCUGCUUUAAUAUUUACCAGUGUAUGCUAUGGUAAAGGUUUAACUGAUAACUGAUUUUUCAAAUAGAAAAUUUUCAAAAUUGUAUUUCAGGAAAACUGGAGAUAUUUUGUUGAUACAGAGAUGGUUUGUCAAGAUAAAGACUCCUCUCUGGUGCUUGAUCUAUCCAGACCAAAUGCAUGUUUAGAAACUAAUGAACAUUAAACUGACUUGGAUUAUGGUUAUUUGGUAAUUUCUGUAACUGAUAAGAUUAUGAUGAACCACAGUAAUACAGAUUCUUUCAAAAGCAGAUUACUGUUUCAAAUGACCUGAGCAACAAGCAAAGUAACAUAGCAAGGUAAAAGUCAAGUUUAUAAUAGACAGGGGUUUUUGGGGAGGAAAAAUGUCCAGAAUUGUCAACUCUUUUAGGGUAAUGAGUAGAAAUUGAAGUAAUAUUUAUAUGUAUAUACACCAUGGCAUAAUUACCAUUAGGGACUAAAAGCAAUAUGCACUUGUCAACAAAUGCUCAGUUAAGAAUACUUUCACUGCCACAGCUGUAUGUAUUAAAGACACUGUAGAAGCAGAGAAACAUACAAACAUUUAGAAAUAAUUCACAUCAAAACCUAGUUCAGUUAGACAGCUGAGUGCGCCACAGUAGCUCCUUCUAAUAGCAGCUUAAAAGGCAUGUACAUACCUUCAAGGAUGUGCAUUCUGACGAGCUCAGACCGAUCCGGUCUGCUGCGAAUCUUGUGCUUCAAAAAAUUUUCAGUCUUGAAAGAAAUGAAGAAUUAUCAUUAACUGGUGUUUAUUUGAAAAAGCAGAAAGUAAUUCACUGAUGUCCAACAAUGAAUAUUUGCAGUUGCCUUCAGAUCAGUGGACACGACUGUUACAAGCGGGCUACCAGAGAGGGUUUUGCUUUACUUUGUUUUUGUUUUUCAGUCAAGCUGUAUUAAUGAAUUUCUAUCUUCCCAAAACAAAUUUGGAAUGUUUCUGGAGUUGAUCCCUUUGCGCCACACUAAAUUACGGUAGUACAGAUUAGAUAUUUGCUACAGAAAUAUAACACAAGCAUAAUAUAAUCCAAGUAUUUUUUCCUUAGACUACAGGGGGAUAUGUGUUACAAUAUGACCAUAGUUAAUUCCACAUACGUGCUUGAUCUAGGAAGGAUUAAGAAACUUCCUUAGAUUUGAUGCCAACAUAUUAUUCUAACAGAUUCUUUUAAGAUACAAACCCAUAUUAUUACUGUAAUGUUUUUUUUUUUUUCAAAUAGAAAAUUCAAUAUCGUAUAUACAACUGACAGUCCAUUUUCAGAUGUUAAUGGCAGGUUUACACAAAAUGGUUUACCCUGGCUCGCUCCAGGCUCUUUAUCUGCUCGUGGAAUGCAGCAGGACUUUUCAAAGCUGUGAAGGGAAAAGUAAGAGUUAAGUAGAUGAAAAGUGAUUAACAAAAGAAAUAUCCUAGUCACCAUGUGUGUUUGGGUGUUUAAUGCUAUAUUAAGGCAGUGUUUGCAUCUGACCAGGCUUACAUUUGACUUAUGCCGAUUCUAUUAAUUUCUGUUUUUUUUUUUAAUUUCUAUUUAACACUGAAUACAUGGAAUAUUGAUUUUAACAGAUAUCACUGCAUAACAGUUAACUUUUUCACAGAGUACAUUAGAGACUGUUAACUAAAACUGUUCCACAGCAUAAAAUUUAUGAGAUAGGACAUAAAAUGCCAGAAUACUUUCAUUUAUUCCACUAUUCACUGAAAUACCGGUCACUCCUCUGAGAGAGUGGUCAGGUGCUGGAAGGGGCUGCCCAGGGAGGUGGUGGAGUCGCCAUUCCUGCAGGCAUUCUAGAAACAUUUAGACGUUGUACUGAGGGACAUGGUUUAGUGGGAAGUAUUGGUGGUUGGUGGGCAUUUGGACUGGAUGAUCUUGGAAGUCUUUUCCAAACUUGGUGAUUCCAUGAUUCUAUUCUAUAAUUCUACAUUACUAUAUAUAGAUAUAUAGAUAUUCAUGUAUACCUAUGCUAUACUUGCUGUUACUAGGAAGAGAUGAAUUGUCCUUUAAUAACUAUUUAUGCUGAUUAUUCAAGAAUUUUGUAUAAGCCUCAUGUGUUCAGAGUAGAAAAUACGAUGAUCCUACAUCAUGUAUAAAUUCAAAGCAAUAUUCAAGGAGACGGUUAAUAUUCAGAAAGCCUAUUUGCCUAGUGUGAAAAUCACGCAACAGCAGCUAGAAAUAAAGCAAGUCUUACGUGGCAUGAUGCCCUGGUCCACCAACUGUUCACGUGUCCGUCUUUGUUGUAGCCUCAGCUGAAGUACUGACAAAAGAAAACAACCAUUCAAAUGUAACCAUAAUAUCCCUCUUAAAAGUUCAAGACAAACUUUCAAAAGACGCUAAGUACUUCAAUUUUAGAAAUACUUUUGCUAUAUGCAUUUGGACCUGACAGUAAGACUGUAAGACAAGCAUUAAGGAUCAACUGCUAGGAACAUAAUUUGCAGCAAUCUAAAUCCUUAUUUACAAUGGAUUUUGCAGUCAAUUGUUCACAUCUCAUAAAAGGACUGCUUCAAGCAUACAUCACAGAGAACUCAUGCUUCCCCUCCAGAAAAAAAAAAAAUAUAUAUAUAUAUAUAUAUAGUUAAUUUUCCCUUGUACCUGUAUCAUUUUAUCAUAGUGCUUCACUAUUUCUUAGGUAUGUAUAGCUGUUAACCUAAUGUGAAAUUUCAUCUUUUGUUUGAGAGAUGGUCAGGAUGCUUGGUCAAGAAAAAAAUGCACUAAAUUUGUAAUACUUACAUUCUCAAAUUCUGCCUUAAUAGUUUAUUGUGGAUGUAUGGUUAUGACAUGCUGUUUCCAUUGUAUUUCACAAGGAAGCAAAACAAAGUAAUACAUUGUCCAGAACAUCAAAAUGAAUGCAAUUUCUAAAAAUUAGGCAAAGGACAAACUUCAUUGUUUUCAGAAUUUAAAAGGAACCAGCUUAUUUCCUGUUCUGCAGUACAGGAAGGAUACUCCUCUGGCUUAAGCAUUACUACCGGGAAUAGCAAGGCAAAUGCUGACAACAAGGACGUUAUUUUCUUAUGUGACUCAAACACUGAGAAUUUAAACACAAACAUUUCAGGGCUGUGCCACAGCAGCUCUAUUCACAGCUUACAAUAUUGUUACACAAGAAUUUGUGUUCUUACACAAGAAUUACAAAUAACAGAGAUGUGAGAACAUGGAACAGCAGCAGACCUAGAGCUGUCUUCCCCAGAUCCAGACACUGACACGAUUCUCAGACAAAGAUUUUUCCAUCUUCAUAUGAAAGGGAGCAAACUUCUAUUUGGCAUUUGGCAUUCUAAUACACUAACACAGAUGCUUACUGUUAGGUCAUUUGGUUGGACCGGGCAGUCUAAACACAUCCUACCACCUCAGCAUUUAAUGGUUAUUGCAUUUUCACUUUUCACUGGCAAGUCUGUGGGAGAAGAAAAAUCAGAAAGGCCUCACACUGCGGUUUGGCAAUACAAGCAAGCUAAAUAACUGCUUCAAUACUUCUACUCUGUAUUCCUCUGUAUCCGCUCAAAGAAUAUGUUAAGAAGUUUGCCUGAAGUAUAUGCAACUUCUGAGACUUCUCUGAAAAACAAGCAAACAAAUGAAAACACAGCCCUACACCACCUAAGCAUCAACACUGCAAAAACAUCUCCCAGGAUAUGUUACUUGUAUUUGUGAUUGAUGGAAUUUCUGUCAGUUCUUGAAAUGAAUGUUGCUUGGCCAUGACUGUGAUUGGUGGAAUUGAUAAAGGAAAUGGCAGAGGGAGAAAGUAAAAAAAGCAAAAAGAAAUAAACCAAAGUAUGUAGGUAUCUUAUCUCUUAUUUACCAAACAGUUUAAACAAAUUCUUUAACAAAAAUUAAUUCCAAAUAUAGAUGAUGGGAAACUCUGCUAUAUAAUUUAUAAGUGUAUUCUAUCCACAAUUUGUGGCUUCAGUCACGAUCAGAUACUUGGCUUAAGCUUUGUGGGAAGGAGUAAAAACUCAUCUGUAUCCUCAGCAAUGUGCAAGUCUGAGAAGCCAGUACGUAAUGUACUGCAGCAGGAUGAGAAAAGCAAUACGUGUGCAGCUGAACAUAAACUGUAUGUGCAUUCAUGUGACAUUUUAGCAUUUCUUAGCAAAAACGUGUAACAAAUACUUAUUGUGUCUCAUAACACUAUUUGUCUACCCAUCAUCAGUUAAUCUACACUGGACAUCACAGAGCAAAUUAGAUAUGGUGCUUCUGAAGUUGAGCCAUGUGUAUCUGUACCGGAGCACUGAGAAAAAGAGAAAUAAAUGACACAGAACAUUCACUUACUAAGUAAAUAUCAAGAACUUAUACGUUACAUAGCCAGGGAAGGACAGCCUGUAUGUAGCAUGACCAAGCACUGAAGGGAGAAUACCAAAGAAAACAUAACUCAGAGAUAAUGAUAUCUCAAAGAUAAUGCAGAGAAGACAGUGAUUGAAGAUUCUGAUUUGAUCAAAGCGAGGAGGUUAAAUAAAGUUGGAUGAAAAACUAAGAUGGGAAAAGAAAGUUUGGCAUCCAGUUUUUGCUGUUGUCGUUUAACUGCUGAGCACUUAAAUGUGUGACUGAAGAAAAUAAAGCGUCUAACAGAAGUCACUGCAAAUUAAAAAACUAAUGUAUUAGUUUUAGAAGUUGAAAAGCUGAAAAUUGUUUUUGCUUUUCCAAAGCAAACAAACCAGGAAAAAAUCUAGGAUUUAUACAUCAGUGAAAGACAUAAGGAUUUAAGAUGCCUUUCAUCACAUGGAGACAAAAAAAAAAAAAAAAAGAAGCUGAGAUGUUUCUAAGGAGGAAGUGGCAACUUGUGGUACAUGAGUUGGAUAGCUCCAUCUAGACAAAAGUCAACUUACAGGUCUGCGUGUCAGAGCAGAUGGUCACAGUACAGGCAGUAAGGACCUUUAUAACAUCACUGUAGUCACAGAGACUCAUCCCUACAAUUUAGCAGAUAUACAUUAUAUACAGAAUUGUAUCAUUAUACUGAAGAUGAACCUGUAGUGGGUAUGAAGAAAGGGAACUAAGAAUUUAUUUUAUGAAAAGCUAGAAAGGAAAUGGGGACUCACAAAAAGCUGGAACAACCAGAAAGAUUUGGAAGAUGGGAGUCACGGAAACUAAAUUAAAAGGUUUUAAUAAGGAAAAUGUGAUGAAAUUAUAUUCAAAGACAAGAAUGAAAGGUAUGAGAAUGGAGCUCAGGUUGCAAUUUUAGCAAAGAAUCGCCAAUUUCUUUCAGGGAGAAACUAUACAAUAGUUUUUAGGUUAUUCAAAUCUAAUGUAAAUAAAUUAAAUCCAAAACUGACUUUCCUGAUUAUAUAUAGAAGUAGAAAUCCACUCAGCAAAAGAUUUCUGCAGCAGUCAGUAACAUAUAAAGUAAAUCUAAUAAGGAUGGAUAAGACAGGAGGACACAGCUUACAAAUAAUCUGAAAUCUGUCAAGGCAUUAUACUAAUUUAUUAUACUGUAUUAUUUGUUCUCUGUCUCUCUCUAUGUAUAUUUCUUUUUUCUGUUGUUUAUUUUUAAUAACCAUUUCCAGACAAAAUGAUGAAAUCCAGGGAAGGGAGAAUUCAAGAGAGAUAAGGUACUAUAAAACCAAGUUCCCCUGGGGUACAUCUUAUUCAAAUGUGGUGUUGAACAAAUAGCUCUUUUCUGGGUGAAUCUAUUGAGCCUGUUGCCUGAUUGUUUGCUUCUCACUCUUAC